UCGGGAAUUUUGUGCAAUGGGCGAAAGCCUGACACAGCAACGCCGCGUGAAGGAUGAAGUCCCUCGGGAUGUAAACUUCGUAAGAAUAGGAAGAAUAAAUGACGGUACUAUUUGUAAGGUCCGGCUAACUACGUGCCAGCAGCCGCGGUAAUACGUAGGGACCAAGCGUUGUUCGGAUUUACUGGGCGUAAAGGGCGCGUAGGCGGCAAUUCAAGUCAUCUGUGAAAUCUCCGGGCUUAACUCGGAACGGUCAGAUGAUACUGCUUUGCUAGAGUGCAGAAGGGGCAAUCGGAAUUCUUGGUGUAGCGGUGAAAUGCGUAGAUAUCAAGAGGAACACCUGAGGUGAAGACGGGUUGCUGGGCUGACACUGACGCUGAGGCGCGAAAGCCAGGGGAGCAAACGGGAUUAGAUACCCACGUAGUCCCUGAGCGGGCUGGCAAGGCGCAU
rnacentral:rRNA from 1 species